UUUUGGGGCUGUGUGGAUUUAAAAUCGUAGAGUGGCCUAAAACGUUGUUUUCUAAGAAGUUGUGGUCAGCUUUUUGGAAAGUUAAACAUAUAAUGUUUCCUAGUUGGCUUUAAAGUACAUUUUUGGAUCAAAACCAAAAAACUAAUGGUGUUUUUUUGUGACUAUAGUGCUAUUUCUGUAUUCUUCAAUUUGCAAUGGUAAUCUGGUGUGCUGCUAUGACAAAUGAUUUUCCUGGGCCAGUGUUGAAAACAUUUUACAUAAUGCAUAAAUCAGUGGGCCAAAAAAAGCUAAACCAAUUUGCACAGGUAAACAAAGGCGAACACGAGAAAUAAAUAAAUUGUGGGGGCAUGUAAAAUGAAAACAUUUUCACAAAUGCAUAAUGACAAAUAAUUUGUGUGGCAAACUCAUCUCGCACCUUUCACCAAGCUAAAUAAAAGUGAGGAAAAAUACAAAAAAAACUUUUCCGACAA